rnacentral:lncRNA from 1 species
AAAUCAUGCAGAAGUGAGAUAUUCUAGUUGACGUAUGUGCAGAAGCCUGAGUAUUCAAGGGAGAGCAGACCAGGCAUGAGGUAAGAGGAAAUUGUGUUUAUAAUUGCCAUGGUUAUUUUGUUUAAUAGGUACUACUAUUUAAUAGUGUACUUUUUAAAGAAAACAAAGAUUGGUUUUAUAUAUAUAUAUAAAGAGAAAAUGUCUUUUCAAAGAGGAAAUCAAGAAUACUUCAAGACAUACAAAANNNNNNNNNNNNNNNNNNNNNNNNNNNNNNNNNNNNNNNNNNNNNNNNNNNNNNNNNNNNNNNNNNNNNNNNNNNNNNNNNNNNNNNNNNNNNNNNNNNAGAGGAAAUCAAGAAUACUUCAAGACAUACAAAAAUAAAAACACAACAUUUCAAAGUCUAUGCAAUGCAGCAAGCAAAGCAGUUUUGAGAGGGAAGUUUAGAGCAAAACAGGCCUACCUCAAGGAGCAAGAAACAUUUCAACCUGCAUCUAAAAGAAUUACAAAAGAACAUACAAGCCCAAAGUCAGCAGAAAGAAGUAAUUAAUAAAGAUCAAAAACAAAACAGAGAUCAAAAAAAAAUAAAAUAUCAAUAUGCCAAGAGUUAGCUUUUUGAAAAGAAAACUGACAAGCCUUUACCCAGGCUCUUUAAGAAAACAGAAGCCUGAAGAAAAAAAUAAAAAAUAAAAAAAAAGAAAAGAAAACAGAAGCCAAAUGAAAGAAACAGAAGAGGAGAAAUUAGAACCAGUAUCACAGAUAAAAAAAAUUACAUGCAAGAAACAAAAACAAUUAUAUGCCAACAGGAGAAUCUAGUAGAAACAUAAAUUUCUAGAAAUGUACAAUCUUUCAAGAAUGAAUCAAGAAGAAACUGAUAAUCUAAACAGAUCAAUCAUUAGUAGUAAAAUUUAAUUAGUUAUCAAAUCUCUCAGCAAAAGUCCAGGACUGGUCAGUUUUAUAGGGGAAUUCUACCAAAUAUAAAAAAGAGCUAAUAUCUAUCCACAACUACUUUUUUAAACUUUUAAAAUUACUUUUAAAUUGAAAAGGAGGGAACAGUCCCCUAAAUUCAUUCUGUUAAGACCAGCAUCACUCUGAUACAAAAAUCAGACAAACACAACACACAAAAAGGGAAUUCCCUGGCAGUUCAGUGGCUAGAAUUCCACUCUUCCAUUGUGGGGGGGGGUCACAGGUUCGAUCCCUAGUCAGGGAACUAAGACCCUGCAGGCAGCACAGCACAGUCAGCCAAGAAAAGAAAAAAGAUAGCACAUAAAAAAUCUGAGGCGAAUGUCUCUGAUGAAUAUAGAUGUAAAAACCCUCAACAAAAUAUUAGCAGACUGAAUUUAACAAUAUAUAAAAAGAUCAUACCCUGUGAUCAAGUGGGAUUUAUUCCAGGGACACAAAUUGUUAAUUUCACAAUGAAUAAAAGUGGCAUUCAACAAGAUGACAUAACAGCCCUAAAUAUGCACCUAAUAAGAGAGCUUCAACACACCUGAAGCAAAAUGAAAGAACUGCAAUGAGAAACUGACGAAUCCACAGUUAUGCUCCAAGAUAUCAACACCCCUCUGCUAAUAACCGACAGAAAAAUUAAGACAAAAACAACUAAAGAUACAGAAGACUUAAAAACACUAUCACCCAAUGUGACUUAAUUGACAUUAAUAGAACAGUCUACGUAUAACAGUAGCCGAAUACACAUUCAAGGGCACAUGGAACAUUUACUAAGAUAGAACAUAGUAUGGGCCAUAAAACAAUCUCAUAAAACAAAUCCAGAAGUAUUUAAAUUAUACAAUAUAUGUUAUCUGGCCACAAUGGAAUCAAAUUAGAAAGCAAUAACAGAAAGAUCUAGAAAAUCUCAAAUAUUUCAACAUUAACAUAAAUAAUCCUUGGAUCAAAGAAAACAUUAAAAGGGAAAUAAGACAGUAUUUUAAACUCAAUGAAAAUACAUCAAAGAUUUGGAAUGCAACUAAAGCAAUACUUAGAGGGAAAUUUAUAGCACUAAAACAACUCUAUUAGGAAGGACGAAAGGUCUUCAAUAAACCUAAGCCCAACUUAAAAAAACUAGAAAAGUAAAAGCAAAUGAAACGCAAAGUAAACAGAAGAAAAAAAAUAAGAGCAAACCUUAACAUACUAUGGUCAAGUGAAGUUUAUCCCAGAAAUGCAAGGUUGGUUUACCAUUCCAAAAUGAAUAUAAUUCACAAGGCAUAAACAUAGACUAAAGAAGGAAAAAGAGGUUUGUCUCAAUAAAGGCAGGGAAAGCAUCUGAAAAAAUCCAACAUCCUUUCCAGAGAAAAACUCUCAGCACACUAGAACAGAAAGGAAUUUCCCCAAUCAGAGAGGGCAUCUUUAAAAGACUAAAUGCUUUCUCU